rnacentral:rRNA from 1 species
AUCUAUCCCAUGCCACCCUGAUGGCACCUGAUCUUGUCUAAUCUCGGAAGCUAAGCAGGGUCAGGCCUGGUUAGUACUUGGAUGGGAGAAGGCUCUUACACACCAGCUGUUUCACCAUAAAACAGUAGGUAGAUU